rnacentral:rRNA from 1 species
UACAGAGACUGCAAGCGUUAUUCGGAUUCACUGGGCGUAAAGGGUGCGCAGGCGGUCGGGUGUGUCAGAUGUGAAAUCCCACGGCUCAACCGUGGAACUGCUGGGUAUACUGGUUGUCUUGAGCCAGCUAGGGGCGAGCGGAACAGACGGUGGAGCGGUGAAAUGCGUAGAUAUCGUCUGGAACGCCGAAGGUGAAAACAGCUCGCUGGGGCUGCGCUGACGCUGAGACACGAAAGCCAGGGGAGCGAACGGG